GCGCGCUAGUCGGGGAGUCAGCGGUGCCCUGUAGCCUGCAACCCGCUACAGCAGGGAUGAAUUCCGUCCCCCGGACUUGCGGUGUGUCGUCUGCCCCGGGUAAGCGGCGUUGAAGAAUCGGUCUUGCGCAACGGAAGCUCGUGAACCAUGUCAGGCGGGGAACCGAGCAGCAUUAAGCGAAAUCUUCCGUGUGCCGCGAGGGUUCCGGUUCAGAGCCGGCUGCCUGGGUUACGGAUAUACCGCACGCUCAAAGGACGGUGCGCGC
rnacentral:SRP_RNA from 1 species